CACAAUAUGAGUGAUAACAGUUCGACACAUCAAAUACGCUUCAAGACCAUCAAACAGCUGAAUGACUACGAUAAAAUGGAGCACCGUUAAAUUGUUUGAGUUACAUAAACUUUGGAAGGUAAGUGUGAGAACUUGAGGGGAAGGGGGCACUGUCUUGCUUUAUUUUCCCUCUACCAUUUUCCAAACCAGGCCAACAACUUCCUCAUCUUACCAAGAAGUCCC
rnacentral:lncRNA from 1 species